GGCAAAUUGGAUCCGUAACUUCGGGAGAAGGAUUGGCUUUGAGAGCUGAGUCAAAUGAGCUGGGUUCAGAAACGUGUCGGUCCAGUUGGAGGCUGGCUUUCUUGCUAUGGUCUGCUUCGGUGGAUCAUGUGCAGGAUUGCUGGACUUCGACCGGGCCGAUCGUGGGCGAUCUCAGUUAUGGUACCGCUUGUUUUGCGGCGUGUGUCGGUUCGUCCUAUGCGCGUAUGCGGAUAAGCUACCUUCGUUUGGCGUUCAACGGCUAGCUCAGAACUGGCACGGACCCGGGGAAUCCGACUGUCUAAUUAAAA
rnacentral:rRNA from 1 species